UACCUCAAAAACUAAAUUGAAGAAAAGUGAGUUUUGUCUUUUUUUAAUGAGAAAACUAACAGUCUUAAAUUACCUUCUUCAAAGUCUGCAAAUAGAAAUCACAAAUAAGUCAGUCACAUGGCUCAGUGAGCCCAUGAGCUUGAAAUAAGAGGCAGAGCAAUGGCUCAGAGGAAAUAAUUGGGGCGUGGCCCAGCACCAGCCCAGGCAGCAACAACAGAAUGAAAGGAGGGCCCAAUUGGGGGUUGGAAAUAAUGGAGGAAGAGAUGGAAAUGCUAAACUCCCCAGCCCAGCAUGUGUGUCUUCUCUGCAGGCUCAGCAGCCAUGGUCCAUUGUAAGACUGACUCAGACUGCUGGCUGAGCAUCUCCCUGAAUAAGCAUAAACCAUGCCUCAUUGCUUAUGGUUCUGAAAUAAAAGAGGCUCUCAAAAUGGGGGUGAUUUCUUAAAGAGCAACUAUUCUGUGAGUGUGAGUAUCCAGGUGCCCAGGGGCACAUGUAGCUUAAGGAGAGGAGGAAACCACAAAGGCUUCAGACUUUCUGAGGUUAAGACUGAGAAGCAAACAGGAUUACCAGGCACAGUAGGACCUGCCUUUAUCAUCACCAUUGAUGUCAUACCUCCUAGAGAGUCCAUCAGGGGACGUCAGGACAAGAGACAGCAUGGUGUUGGGGUAUACACGGGAGCUUUAGGACUGGAGUCUUAGGCUCUAGCCCCAGUUCUAUGACAUGUAAUAAUACCUAAUACUGAUUGAACAUAUACUUCAUGCCAAGGACUAUGCUAAACACUUCACGUAGAUUAUUUCAUUAAUCUCCAAAACAACCCUAUAUGUGUCAUUAUUAUCCCCAUUUACAGAUGAGAAUGCUGAAGGAUGGAGGUCACGUAACUUGCCCUAAGUAUCACACAUCUUGUGACAGAUCAGGGUGUGAAUCCAGGGAGUCAGACUCCAGAAGCUCUUGUACUUCUUCCUGCCAAACCACCAGGUGUGGCUGGGCCUACUUCCUCAUCUGGAAAGUCAAGCUGCAGCAGCCAGGCCCAGCAGCCAUGGCCCACUUUAAGACUGAGCAGGAUGACUGGCUGAUUGUCUACCUGAAGUAUUUACUCUUUGUCUUCAACUUCUUCUUCUGGGUCGGGGGAGCAGCCGUCCUGGCCGUGGGCAUCUGGACCCUGGUGGAGAAGAGUGGCUACCUCAGCGUCCUGGCCUCUAGCACCUUUGCCACCUCCGCCUACAUCCUUAUCUUCGCGGGCGCACUUGUCAUGGCCACCGGCUUCCUCGGCUUCGGUACCAUCCUCCGGGAGCAGAAGGGCUGCCUCUCCACGUAUUUCUGCCUGUUGCUCGUCAUCUUCCUGGUUGAACUGGUGGCGGGAGUCUUGGCCCACGUGUAUUACCAGAGGCUGAGUGAUGAACUAAAGCAGCACUUGAACCAGACUCUGACCAAGAACUACGGGCAGCCGGGAGCCACGCAGAUCACCGCCUCAGUAGACCGGCUCCAGCAGGAUUUCAAGUGCUGCGGAAGCACCAGCUCAGCCGACUGGCAGCGCAGCACAUACAUCCUGUCGCGGGAGGCCGAGGGCCGCUGGGUGCCCGACAGCUGCUGCAAGACAGUGGUGGUGCGCUGCGGCCGGCGGGCCCACCCCUCCAACAUCUAUAAGGUGGAGGGAGGCUGCCUCACCAAGCUGGAGCAGUUCCUGGCCGACCACCUGCUGCUCAUGGGGGCGGUGGGCAUCGGGGUGGCCUGCCUGCAGGCUGAAUCCCACGGUCAGUCUCUCCCCCAGGGAACAUGAAGGAAGAUACCUGGGGACAACAUGAACUUGUCAGGAACAGGGACCUGGGAGGAGUGUGAGUGUGGGCUCAGGCAUGUGCAUGCACCCCGUGUGCACGCAGGGAUCUGCGGGAUGGUUCUCACCUGCUGCUUGCACCGAAGGCUCCAGCGGCAUUUUUACUGAUGGCCAACCACCUCCUCUUCCAACUGCCCUACAGGAGGACAGGUGGCCGCAUGCCAUCCGCCUGCAGAGUUAGCACCAGCUCCACUAGGGCCAUAGAUGCCCCCUCCUCUGUGCCCAGCAUCUACAAAUCCACCAAGUGCCUAAGACCAUAGCUUCUACUGUGCCCACCCAGGCAGGGACCCUCGGACCCCUCUCCUCCACUUCUGAGCUCCCAUGGCCAGAUCCUGGGCAGGGAAAUGAUCCUUUCAGGAGACAACCAGAGCUCCGCACCAGGCACAGGGACACUGUGGACUAGGGAAGGUUGACAGUUGGGCUCUUUGCUCCCUCCCAGCUCUUGAACCGGGAACAAUGGGCAGAAAACCCAGGUCUCCCAGGUUUUCAGCACUGGAUUCCCCCACCCAUGCUCAAAAGCCCUGACCUUGCUGAUUCUGGAAGAUGCAUGGGGUGGGGUAGGGAGGGCUGGUGUUUCCUCCAGAAGACCUUGCUCUUUGACCUGCCCACUGUCCACACUGCCUCACCUGGAAAGCCAUGUCCUGCUGGCCUCACUCUUUCCUGCAGGGCCUGGGAGUGGGGAGGCCUGGGUAGGGCAGCCACAGGCUGGGUGGAGUUGCUCUGGCAGGGAGCGGGGGUAAGGUGGCCACACCAGCACAUGCUGCAAUAGGAGCAGAGCCCCGUGCCUGCCUAGCAACCUUCCUGGGAGAAUCCCCUUGGGGAGACCCUGGCCCCAAGCCCUGACCUCUAGGGACAUGCCCCCCAGAGGGAUCUCCUGUUCCAGGGCCUGAUUCUCAGGAACAUCAGGUUUUUAAACCAUCUUCAGCACCUAAUGCUGGUGGGUGUCAAGCAUUUCCUGGAGUGGACCAACUCACGACCCUUUAAAGUCGCAGCCACUGAGAAAGGGCAGCUCUGAGUAGAGGGGUGUCUGCCUGAGCCUCACCUUUCCUGGGGCCCUCUCCUUACCCUGUGGCCACCAGCACUCUGCUUCCCCUCCCACCCGUCCUGGAGUGAACAGAGCUUUUGUCUUGGGUUCUCUCUUGCAUCACUAAAUUCAGCAGGGAAUUUUUCAGUAAGAACGUUCCCCAGUGCUAAGGGAGA